GGUGGCUCAGUGGUAGAGCACUUGCCUUGCAAGCCCGAGACCCUGGGUUCGAUUCCUCAGCACCA
rfam:Dipodomys ordii contig_75434, whole genome shotgun sequence.